UGCUUGUAGCUGCCGCCAAAUGAUGGGUUUAGCACUGGUGUGGUUGCUGCUGGGGACUGAACCAAGAAAUGCAGUGAACACAACUGGCUCUCCCCUCGUCCCUCUCUCCUCCUGGAGCCUGAUUUCUCCCCCUGGCCAUGGGGUGGAGCAGGGAGAAUGGAAGAGGAGGAUUUAGGGGAAACUCCACCAAAUGCACACUGAGCUAAAAUUAGGAGAAACCUUGGGGUAGUCUAGGACUGGAAUCACUCCCUUUUCUUUCCCUCUUUCUCUUAAGGUGUUGUGAGAGGGGGUCCUCGCUCCCUCCUGGAAAGAGGGACAAAAGGGGAAGAGAAAGGAAAAAUUAUAUUCUGUAGUGAAAGAAAAACGUUCAGGAGGGAUGGUCUGGCUGUGGACACCUCUGAUCGCCCCAUCCUCUUCCCCGUCCUGGAGAUUUCGGAUGCAGGAGGAAAACAGCUUGCUGGCAGCUGAGCUGAGCGUUUCGUGCGAGUGCAUGGAUGUAGGCAGCAAGCUGUAGAGGGCUGUCUCCACACGCCAACGGAGCCACGAGCUGCGCUCAGCAACCCUGGCCUCGGGCCCAGGAAUUCAGCAGGUGUUGCUUGGACACGUCAUCUCAACUGCUUCUGGGGACAGUGACAGCUGGCAGCACGUGCUAUAGAUCCAGACCUGAGAUCCUAUGUAGUGAGGGAAUCCCUGGCACAGCCGUACCAUGGGACACGGGGAAGCCACUGAUGCUCACAGCAAUGUCCCAUCCUUGUCCUUUGUGCUUUUGGGUCCUUUGUGUUUUUGGGAUCCAGUGCCACCUGAGCUUGCAGGUUGAUUGCAACCCAGCCACCCUGCACUGUCUGAUAAAAGAACCCUUGGGGAGUCAGGAGAGGAGCUGCCAGGGGCCCGUAAUUGUAUUUCAGGGGCAUUUGGAAACCUGGAAGGAGAGGAAAGGCAAUGGGAAGACACUGUUGAGGCAGGACUGGUAAAGCACAGGAGAGGGAGAGUAAGACCUCGCUGUAGGAUCAGAUCCAGCCUUCAUCCUGCAUGCAAACACCCCCUCCAAAAAAAGAAACCACCUUCACCAACCCAAACCCAGUAAAAAUGUCCUGUUUCCAGAGGGUUUUCUGUGCACUGAGGUCCCACCAGCCUCUGCCUGGUCAUAUGUGAGCAUCCCCUGCAUUAGGGAUAACUGAAUGUGCAGCAACAAUGGACCUUAUUAAAUAAAUGUGGGUUAUGAAACUCCUUGGUGGUCUGGGGUAGGGCACAACAGACAUUUCCUUUGGUUCUUAAAAGCUGAGAUCCGGCAAGGGGUAAUUGUGUUUGAUGUUUCGUACUUUCAUGAGGAGCUCACAAAGCUGGUCCUAACUGGGGAGCCUGGGAGGAUGCAUCUUGGCUGACUCUCUGCCUUCUCAAACGAGCCUCACAAGGCUUCGAUUGCCUCUUUCUUGGCUGAGCUGUCUCUCUCAUCUCCUUGGAUGCAUCUUUGCUGCCCUUGGCACUCCUCUUCCACCUCUUCACGUGGACUUGGCUCAGUUCUUGACUCUAUGACCUCCUCUUCAUGUCUUUUAGCUAGCUGCUGAACCUUCCUCCUCUUCUUCCUCUCAUCUCGUGCCACCAUCCUCCUUUCUCCACGACUUGGACCCCACCACCCCUGGCUAUGAUCAGUGACGUGGAGCCCAUCACUGCAGAGAUGCUCAGGAAACCUGCUGCAAAUUCGUGGCAGGCAUGUACGUGAAGUGAUGAAUUAUUUAAACUACAUCAGAUCGCAGCCUGGAUGGUCCCAUUUGGAGUCAAAACCCCCUUCAU